GACGAACGCUGGCGGCGUGCUUAACACAUGCAAGUCGAACGGAAAGGCCCUGCUUUUGUGGGGUGCUCGAGUGGCGAACGGGUGAGUAACACGUGAGUAACCUGCCCUUGACUUUGGGAUAACUUCAGGAAACUGGGGCUAAUACCGGAUAGGAGCUCCUGCUGCAUGGUGGGGGUUGGAAAGUUUCGGCGGUUGGGGAUGGACUCGCGGCUUAUCAGCUUGUUGGUGGGGUAGUGGCUUACCAAGGCUUUGACGGGUAGCCGGCCUGAGAGGGUGACCGGCCACCUUGGGACUGGGGUACGGCCCAGACUCCUACGGGGGGCAGCAGUGGGGAAUAUUGCCCAAUGGGCGGAAGCCUGAUGCAGCAACGCCGCGUGCGGGAUGACGGCCUUCGGGUUGUAAACCGCUUUCGCCUGUGACGAAGCGUGAGUGACGGUAAUGGGUAAAGAAGCACCGGCUAACUACGUG
rnacentral:rRNA from 1 species